UACAUAGGGGGCAAGCGUUAUCCGGAAUUAUUGGGUGUAAAGGGUGCGUAGACGGAGAAACAAGUUGGUUGUGAAAUCCCUCGGCUCAACCGAGGAACUGCAACCAAAACUAUUUCCCUUGAGUGUCGGAGAGGAAAGUGGAGUUCCUAGUGUAGCGGUGAAAUGCGUAGAUAUUAGGAGGAACACCAGUGGCGAAGGCGACUUUCUGGACGAUAACUGACGUUGAGGCACGAAAGUGUGGGGAGCAAACAGG
rnacentral:rRNA from 1 species